rnacentral:misc_RNA from 1 species
UGUGCAGCCGACGCUGCG